GAUGAACGCUGGCGGCGUGCCUAAUACAUGCAAGUCGAGCGAACAGACGAGGAGCUUGCUCCUCUGACGUUAGCGGCGGACGGGUGAGUAACACGUGGAUAACCUACCUAUAAGACUGGGAUAACUUCGGGAAACCGGAGCUAAUACCGGAUAAUAUAUUGAACCGCAUGGUUCAAUAGUGAAAGACGGUUUUGCUGUCACGUAUAGAUGGAUCCGCGCCGCAUUAGCUAGUUGGUAAGGUAAAGGCUUACCAAGGCAACGAUGCGUAGCCGACCUGAGAGGGUGAUCGGCCACACUGGAACUGAGACACGGUCCAGACUCCUACGGGAGGCAGCAGUAGGGAAUCUUCCGCAAUGGGCGAAAGCCUGACGGAGCAACGCCGCGUGAGUGAUGAAGGUCUUCGGAUCGUAAAACUCUGUUAUUAGGGAAGAACAAAUGUGUAAGUAACUAUGCACGUCUUGACGGUACCUAAUCAGAAAGCCACGGCUAACUACGUG
rnacentral:rRNA from 1 species